UAGAGAGAGAGGAAAAGAUACAGAGAACUUCCAUCUGCUGGUUAAGUAUCCAAAUGGCCUCAAGAGCCAGGGUUGAGCUUCAUUUGGGUCUCCCACAUGAGUACAGGGGCAAGCAUUUGGGCUAUUGUUUGCCGCUUUCCCAGGUGCAUGAGCAGGGAGCUGGACGGGAAAUGGAGAGACCAGGACUCCAACUGGUACCCACAUGGGAUGCCGGUGUUGCAGGUGGUGGCUUAACCAGUUAAGCCACAAUGCCUGUCCCUUGUCCCUGCCUCUCUAGUCAAUGCAUUGGGCUAUUAAUAGUCUCCCCUCCAUCAUCCUCAAUGUUUUGUGCCCACACACACAAUAAAAGAGGGACCUGAGAAGUGCUGACACCACAAGGCUUGCCUGCCUCAUUGUUAGGAGGGAAGAGCAUGGAGGUGGGGGCCUGUCUGCUCUCUGCUCCUUUCUUAUAGGUGGGGCUGGUGCUGGCAGGUGCGGGAGGGGCAGGAGUUGACCUUCACAAUCCCAGAACCUGUGCACCCUGGAACUGGGAGUGGUGGAAAAUCCUUUGUUUCAGCAACAGGGAAGACCAGAGAGGUCAAUCUUUGCAAAAAGCAGUUGCCGUUCAGCAGCAGAGCUUGGUUCUGGUGCAAUUCCUCUUUGCACUUUCUCUUUGAAAUUCCAGGUGUGAGGGGACUUCAAGGGCUGGGUACCAGGCUAAGCAUGUCUUGCAUAAGAUCGCAAUCAAUGACCCCCAGCCUCACCCCCUGUCCUCAACUGAUCCUUUGUCGUCCAAAUGAUCUUACUGCCUUCUCCAGAAGAAUGAAGAACCUGUUCCGAUCUCAGCAAGAGCAAACCUAAUGUCAGAGGUAGUUACCAUGUCUAGCAAUCAACUCGUUGGGUUCAUUUAACUGAAAUUUGUAAAUUUGGGGAGGACAUGAUUGGUUGAGGAGUUUGGCAACCCCAAGCCUGCAACAGACUGAAACUCCUGAAUCAUCCUAUUAAAACCAGAUAUCUGGCGGCAUUCAUUGAUGUGAUCUCGGCAAACUUUUCUUCUAAAUGCAACUUUUCAACUUUAAAAGCUCACUUAAACCAUCUCAUAGAGAACUCUCCACCCUGGUCCCCCUCUUGUUCUCUAUCUGCUCCUUGGAGAGACCAAAAAACAAAACAAAGCCCACCGAUGCUGAAUAAAAACCAGAAAGCACAACCUUAUGUCCCUUAAGAGAAUUUCUCCAAAAUAAAUAAAAAAAAAUAACUAUGGCUUCUCUUAGAAAACCAUUUCGGUUUAAAAUAAAAGCACUUCUAAAAAGUGGUAGGAAAAAAAAAAAACACCCACCUCCAGGGAUUUUUCUCCACUUGUCCCUGUCUGAUAAGAUCUGUAACUAAAACAUAUUUUAAGAAGAAAACAAAAAUCAAGAGAGGAAAACAGAAAAAAGAAGGCUCUGCCACUGAACUCUCUCCUGGGCAUCUGUGCUCUCUCCCUGGGGCUGGGGCUGGGGCUGGGCCUGGGGCCCGCAGCCGGGGCUUCCUGCCGGCCCGGCGACCCUCUGACACGGGGCCUCUCGGGGCUCCCCGACUCCGGCUCCCAUCCCAUUCAUUCCGCUCGACUUGGGAGCCAGGCUCAGCUUCCCUCCUGGAAUUCACCCUUGGACCCUGCUAUUGUCCCUGUGGGCUGACCUCUGCUACGCUGAGUUCCAACAAGAUAACAUUUGAGGAGGCGAUUAGACUAAAGAGAGUUAGGAGGACAUGAAGAAGAUGAUGGAAGAGGAAAGUGUGGAAUCCUGGUAUUCCCAUGCACACAAAAAGGCGGAACAAUUGGAGAGCAGGCAUGAAUACCAAGAGGCUAAACCUGUCGCAAGGGAAAUUUGGAACAGGAGUCAUGAUUUUCGCAGUACAAUGCACAGUUUUGGUUUUCAUGAAGCAAUCCAUCAAUGAUGUUUUUCAAGACUUACGGGAUGAAAAAAAUAUGUAGUUGAACACUGAAAGCAUUCUAAGGUCUUGCCCAUGAACUUCCUGUUUAGAAACCAUGCAGUAAUUGCUAAUUGUAAUUGUGUUCCAAAUCUCUGCAACCAGCUGUCUGUGUUUUCUGCUGUUGUUCAAGAAACAGGUGAAGUCAAUACUAAUUUUUGAAAUUUACACAAGUCACCUGGGGAGAUUCAAUGUUGAUUAUUUACCAUGACAGUUUGCUUUACCUAUGUAUUCAUUUCUUAGAAAAUGGAUUUUCUUAUAUCACAUUGCUCAUAACAGCACAAGUUAGAAUUGAUAUGUGAUGAUAAGACCAUUACUUCACAAAACUAAAGAGGGCAAAGUGGACAGCAAUGAUAGACAAAUGUUUGGGACGUUAUAAAUGUUUCAUUUCGCACUAACAAAUCAGUCCUUGGCCAUUAUUUCUAUUUAUAAGGGCUAAGUCUAUUAGUCAAAUAAAUGUACCACAAUAUUUUUACAAAAAUAUACAAGUAGGGGCUGGUGCUGUGGUGCAGUAGGUUAAUCUUCCACCUGUGGUGCUGGCUUUCCAGUAGGCUCCAGUUCUAGUCCUGGCUGUUCCUCCUCCAGCUUCUGCUCUGGCCUGGGAAAGCAGUGAAAGAUGGCCCAAGUGCUUGGGCCCCUGUACUUGAGUGGGAAACCCGGAAGAAGUUACUGGCUCCUGGCUUUGAAUCAGCACAGCUCCAGCAGUUGUGGCCAACUGGGAAGUGAACCAGCAGAUAGAAGACCUUUCUCUCUGUCUCACCCUCUUACUGUCUGUAACUCUAUCUUGCAAAUAAAUAAAAUCUUAAAAUAUAUAUAUAUGACAAGAACAUUAAAAGACUCCUUCGUAUAGUCUUCUAUCCAUUUCCAGCUUAUUAAAAUAUUGAACAUUAAGAAUACUUCUGAAAUAUUUAUUUGAAAGCCAAAAUGACAGUAAAAUAGAGUUAGAAGGCACACAUGUGCACGCAUGCGUGAGAUAGAGAUAGAUAAAGAGAGAGACAAUUUUCAUCCACUGGCUUACUUUUCAUAUGGCCACAACACACAGGUCUAGGCCAGGCUAGAGCAGGAGCCAGGCACUCCAUCCUGGUCUCACUCGUGGGCUCCAGGGAACCAAGUAUUUUGGCCAGCUUCCACUUGCUUUCCAGGUACAUUAGCAGGAAGCCAGAUCAGUGUGGAGCAGCCAGGACUCAAACAAGGCAUGCUGAUACGGUAUGCCAGUGUCACAAGAGGUAGCUUAAUCUGCUGCAACAUAACAUCCACCCCAAGAAGAAAAUAGAUGGGUUAACAACCAUGGUGAAGCUGGCAUUGUGGAAUAGUGGGUUAAGCUGCUACCUGCAAUGCUGGCCUCCCAUAUGGGUGCCAGUCUGAGACUCAGCUGGUCCACUUCUGAUCCAGCUCCCUGCUAAUGUGCCUAGGAAAGGAGCAGAGGAUAGUCCAGGUACUUGGGCCCCUGACGCCCACUUGAGAGACCCGGAAGAGGCUCCUGACCCAGCAUCAGCCAUUGCGCCAUUUGGGGAAUGAAUCAAUGGACAGCAAACCUCCCUCUUUCUCUGUCUCUCCCUCUCUCUAAGUCUCUGUAAGACCUCUCUCUCUCUGUAACUCUGACUUUCCAAUAAAUAAAAUAAAUUUUUAAGAAAAUAAAUAAAAAUAAAAACCAUGGUGAGGGACUGGAGUUGUGGUAAAGCAAUUAGGCUGUUGCUUGGAAUGCUCACAUCCCACACUGGAGUGCCAGAAUUCAAGUCCUACCUCUGCUUUCCUACUAAUGCAUUCUUGGAGGCAGUAGAUUCAAGCUCAAGUACUUAGGUCCCUGUCACCCACAUGGGAGACCUGAAUGGAGUUCCUAGUUUCUGGCUUCAUCUAGGCCCAGCCCUUGCUAUUGUGGGCAUUUGAGAACUGAGGCAGCAGAUGGAAAAUAGAUGAAAGAUCUCUCUCUCUCUCUCUCUCUCUCUCUCUCUCUCUCUGUCUUUCUCUCCCUACCCCCAUCUUUCAAACAAAGCAGACAAACAAAAAAAGCCAUGAAAAAUGGACACAACAAUUCAGAUUCAGUCCCCUCGUCCUCACUCCUCUGGCCACACAUAAGUAGUUUCAGUAGAAGUCAUACUUUAGAAGACUGUAAAACUUAAUCAGAGCCUCACAAAUCAGAGAUUUCCUUCUGCAAAAACAGUCCCUCUCCAUCGAUAUGAAAUCAUUGGUGAAACAUAUUAUAUUUUCUGGUUGGAUGUAAAUAUCCACUGUGGAUGUCUCACAGCAUAUGAAAAAAAUCCCCUGAUAAAAUAUGGUACUUACCAUACCCAUUACAAUAUGCUUAAUCUGAUCCCUUGUGUGACCAGUAUCAUAGCACUCUUUCCUCCCACUUGGCUUAGGGGGUUUUAUCCCAACACUUCUCAUUUAACUGAACUAUCUCAAAUUUAUCUUAUAAGCUGAUAGGAAAAACAGCAGAUGAAAAGAUGUGUCAAGGUCCAUAAUAUUUGCAGGCUAACCUCUUGUUCCAGAUCAAUUGAGCAGUCUACAGAAAUUUGCACAAGAUUUGAGUAAGCAGCCAGACUUCAGGAUAUUUGCCCAGUUGCAAUCUUGUAGUCUUUUUUAAUUCAUCCAGCCUUAACAGAAACCAGAUAGUUCUUCCAUGUUGGAUUAGAAAGUAGUGAAGGAUGCCAAUGUAUUUAUUAGUAAAAUUCUGAGGACCCUUUGUAUAGUAUAGGGAUAUUAAAAUUAUACUCAUUUUUAAAAGUGUACUGUGCAUAGAUACAUUGAAUAUUCAUCCAUGCAUAUGAGUGUACAUUCAGCUGCAAGAUCAUAACAAUCUGGUAGAAAUUACUAUUCAAAGUGACUACUGAGGGAAUCAAAGAGUCAUCAGAACUUGAAAGCACCUUGGAAGAUCACCUAGGAAAUUUCCCCUUUCUUUUCAAAGGGAGAAAAGAACUAUCUCCUACUUUUAGAGAGGUUCCCUAGAGAGGAGAACCAACAGGCCUCCAGAUCGUCUCAGUGGCCUGGAUGAUUUGCAGCUGUCGUAACCUAGGACCUCUCCUAGGACACUCAUCCCCUUGUCAAGAUGCAGGGAAAUGCAAAUCUUCUGUGGCUACUGUUGAAUACUAUUUGUUGUAAAAUAAGUACACAGUUAAAAAGCAUGUGCCUUGAUUGGCUGUAUGCCAUUACUGAGUAUCCAGAGAGCUGGGCUUUGCAAAGAGCUGGGAAACAGCUGUAGAGAUGAGGGUCAGUGACCAUGUAACCUUCUAUCAUGCCAACUGGCCAAGAAAAUCAUUUUUUUGUCUACUGCAAUUAAAUGAUGAUGUGAAGCUAAAAGAAAGGUAUACUUUUCAGUAAAUGGAUCCCAGGUCAGAUACAUGACUUAGGACAGUACGUUGCAACCACAACAUCUAAUUUGAUAGAAUGUUCUGCCAAGGGAAAAAAAAAUGCACAGCGCUCAAGAACAGGUAGCACGUAGCUCACAGUAAAACAACAAAAGGGACAAUGAAUGCAAGGAUAGCUGCUUGGGGAUUAUUAAAAUAUAUAAAUUAGAAGACUGGGAAAUGAAUAGACCUAUAGAUGAAUCAUGGACAUUUUAAAGCAUAUGGAAAUUAUGCUUUUUAGGUAGCUGUGUGACCAUAUUUUUUGACAUGGGUUGCUGUCUUAGCCAGUUUUUUAAAAAAAAUUCUGUAAUAUCUAAAUUUGGGCAUUUUAUAAAGAAAAGAGGUUUAUUAAACUCACAGUUUUGGAUGAUGGAAUUGCAGACAGCACGGUGUUGGUUCUCAUGAGGUGUCCUCUGGCUACGAAGCAUCAUGGUGGUGGCAUCACAUUGGUGGGACCAUGUGCAAGAGAGAGAGAUAGACAAUAUGACAAGAGAGAAAGCCAGAGAGUGGCUGGGGUCCUAUAGCAUCUAUGUUAAUCCCUUUCUAUGGCAGUGUCCCUAAUAACCUAAUGACCCCGAAGUAGCUCCCACCUCUCAAACAUCCCACUGCUUCUUAACAUCACCACACUGGGGACCAAGCUUCCAGACAUGAACCCUUGGGGAAGACAUCCAAGUCAUAUUCAAACCAUAGCAGGUGGCCAACUGAAUGUGUUGGAAGGAAAUCUGAGUCAAUGUGUGAAUACUUGAGAUUGGGCUCUUGCACAAUUUUGUGACUUUAAGCAAGUUCUUUUUACCACUCAGCUUCUAUCUCAGUGUACUGAACUAUGUGAAGCCAGCACUUUCUAUCUGCUCUUAGUCCCUUCCUGCCUUGCACUGGGCGUGUCUGACUCAGAAUGAAUGUGCAAUCAUUAAAAACAGCUGUAGAACAGGCUGUACAUCAAAAUCCUAUCAGUGAAAAUCAGGCCUGCAGUGGUGAACAACCAACUAAUUUUUAAAAAUUCAUAUGCAGGAAUGUAUUAUAACCUGAAUCUCCAAGCACUGUGUUUGGGUAAUGUUGAUUUAUUAGUACAGUAGAAUUCCACUAAUUAGCACUAAUGACAGGGGAACCCAUUAUGGAUUAUAGAAUUUUGCAAAUUAGUGAGUACAUGAAUAAACAAUAAAAACCAGGAGUCCUGCACUGCAAAGUGUCCUUUUCUACUUAUUUUGACAGGAAAGUAUUUAAUGUUGAUUAUUUAUGAUAAUUCCUCAUCAUCCGUUGCUAAUGUUGGAUUUUGUUAAAAGAGGCAUUUGUGAGGAUUAAUGGGAUAAUGCUUAUAAAGCAUUUGGGCAAAAGGAGCAACACAACUGCAAACCAUUAGAAGGAUGGUACCUGAUGAAGUCAUAGAGACAGAGCAAGAAAGCUGAAGUUUUAGAUGAGAAGUGCAGGAGGAAGUUGGAUUUUUUUUUUUUUUUUGGUAGGGGGAAGUUAUUGGAAUUGUGAACUUACUAGAGAAUGAGUAAUGCUAUGACUCUUGAGUGACUCUCACAUGUCUCAAAAAGCAGAUCUCAGCCUGUAUUUUCUGUCUAGGUCUCCAGGUGAUUAUAUGCAUUAUGUUAGCUACGAUGAAUGCCCUAAUUUUUUGGUGACACCAUCUAGCAAUAAUUUAUGUACUAAAAUGUUUAAUAGACAUGAAAUUCAGAAAUUGAAAUGGCACAAGGACAUUAUUUAAAUUCUGUCUUCCUCUGGGUUGGGAUAUUUGAUAUUUCAUAUGUAUUCAUGGGAAAUCUUAAGUGUGAGGACAGUGCCCAGAGUUGGGCCACAUGAAGAUUUAGUCUUGGGAAUGAUGGAUCUUGUAAGAAGUCAUGAGUUAGUGACCAUGAGUUAGGACUUGGUAUGAUAAGGUGUGAAUAAACACCAAAGCUGGAAGGGAGUUAUUCUGCUAACUAAAGAGGUAAAAAAGCAUGCAAUUAGGAGCAAAAUUUCAGGUUGCAUAGGUCAGGAAAUUGGUUUUGAAAGCAUGUUGUGGUAGGCUACAAAAUUUUGCAUCUCUGUUAGUAAAUACUAAUAGAUGGUGAUAAUGCUGCUCAUAAUGAAACAUUGCUACAAAAGUCAUUCAAGGCCGGCGCCGAGGCUCACUAGGCUAAUCCUCCACCUGUGGCGCCGGCACCCCGGGUUCUAGUCCUGGUCGGGGCGCCGGAUUCUGUCCUGGUUGCUCCUCUUCCAGUCCAGCUCUCUGCUGUGGACCGGGAGUGCAGUGGAGGAUGGCCUAGGUGCUUAGGCCCUGCACCCGCAUGGGAGACCAGGAGAAGUACCUGGCUCCUGGCUUUGGAUUGGUGCAGUGCGCCGGCCACGAUGCGACGGCCAUAUUGGCCACUUGGGGGUGAACCAACAGAAAAAGGAAGACCUUUCUCUCUGUCUC